CUGGAGGACAGGAAAGGAAGCAAAGAAUGAAGGGCAGAGCGGACCCUUCACACAUGGUGAGAAGGCAGGAUUUGUUCAUCACUUGCCAUGUGGAGGCACUGUCCUAGCUGCUCAGGAUGAAGGGCUUUGUGCUGACAGCUGAGAUCUGAAUCACGAGAAGGAUCCAGCCAUGGGACAACAUGUGGAUGAGUAUUUCGGGCCAAGGGGACAGCAGUGAUGAGGCAGUGACUGAGUUUCCACUGCAGCACUUCAGCAGGCCUGCCAAUUGCCAGUAUCAUCAAGGUUUCUUUGUGGAGCACCUACUUCCUGUGCAAGCCUCGGAAACCAGGGCCCGGUCCUCCCAACCAGCGGCUGCUUCCUCUGAACGCCUUCAAGUCUGCCCUGUGCUUUCAGAAUCUGUCUUCAUCCAGCACCAUUGAAAA
rnacentral:lncRNA from 1 species